AUAUACAGUCAUAGCACCCUGAGAAUGUCCGAUCUCGUCUGAUCUCAGAAGCUAAGCAGGGUUGGGCCCGGUUAGUGCCUGGAUGGGUGACCACCUGGGAAUAGCGGGUACUGUGGGCU
rnacentral:rRNA from 1 species